rnacentral:lncRNA from 1 species
AGAUCUACAAAUUUUUAUAUAAAAUUUAUCUCUAUUUAAGUUCAUAUAAGUUAGUUAUGAUAUUUUUGAAUAGGAACUAUUCAUACUAGGGUAAUCCCGCCGGAUGAACCGGGUGUAAGGUUGGUACAGUACACCUACCGCCGGUUCAUCCGGUUGCAGUUAUUUUAUUUGAUGGCUACGUAUACAUCUGCAAAUUUUUUCAGUUGGAUAUAUACUUUUAAAAAUUCGUAAAAUGAAAAAUAAA